UACGUAGGGGGCAAGCGUUGUCCGGAAUCAUUGGGCGUAAAGCGCGCGUAGGCGGCCCGGUAAGUCCGCUGUAAAAGUCCAGGGCUCAACCCUGGAAAGCCGGUGGAUACUGUCGGGCUAGAGUCCGGAAGAGGCGAGUGGAAUUCCUGGUGUAGCAGUGAAAUGCGUAGAGAUGUGGAGGAAUACCGAUGGCGAAGGCAGCCCCCUGGGAUAACACUGACGCUCAUGCACGAAAGCGUGGGGAGCAAACAGG
rnacentral:rRNA from 1 species